UGGAUAGAGAGACAGACGGACUUAUAAACAGACAGACGGUUGAAAGACAGACACAUGGAGACACACACACACACACACACACACACUCUCUGAGUCUUUCCUCAUGUUACGCUUGACAAUCACUGUGCUGCUGAGUUGGAAGACUUUUCAGUUUGUGUGUGUGUGUGUGUGUUGCUGUGUAAGGCAUUCUCUGUCCCCCCUGAUGUCCUGAAUGCACAUUCCUAGACGUAUUGUGCCGCACACGAUGAGAUUGCAGUGAUUAAUUCCCGAAGCGCGUGAGACGCUGAUGUCGUCCUGUCUGCUUUCCAGCUGGGUUCCUGAUUUGAAAGCCUCGAGUGAGUUCGGGUCCUGGAGAGGAAUUUUUCGUGCCGAGCGUGCUGGAAAGCGAAGCGUUUCUCGUCGCCGUUUCUGAAUGCUUGUCCAUCACUCCUUUCAGCAGUUACAGUCGUCUUGGCGUCUCUGAAAUAGCCAAGCGGGUUAUUUUGAAGGGGAAUAACGAUGCAGGAAGGGUCACCGUCAUGACGUCCCUCUACUUCUGUUGAGACAAAUUGGACGACGAGAUCUUGCUGGCAAUUUGCGCCGACCACGUUUGUUGCGAAACAGGCGGGGACGUCACAAACUGGCAUGCCGCUGACGAACGGCCAGAACGUGUACGAACAAGGUUUUGUUUUAAAAAUGGCGGAUGAAGACGUUUGGACCGGUGAAUGAUUUGAGCAACGAUACUGAACGUUUAAAAAAUGAUAACAUCUGAUUUGCUUUGUUAAUGUGGUACAUUACAGCUGAUGGAACUUGACUCCGCUAAACAGC
ensembl:lncRNA